rnacentral:lncRNA from 1 species
AUGGAUUUCUUGUGUAGGGUGAUAAACAGAUCAAUACUACAUGAAAGAAAUAUCGAUGGGUAUGAAACUUAUGUAGUGAAGCAUGCUCCUUUUAUAAUUUCAAAAUUAACAGAAUUUUACACUGGAACUUACACAGUUUGUUUUUUUUUUAGCAUAAGCUGGAAUUGUGCAAGGAUGGUUGGAAGAAAGCAGAGAUUUGGAGCACAAUGUCAGCACUUUAGGAAAGAAUUUAAGCAACAAGCCUAGAUGUCCCCAAGGUCUGUGUCUGUUCAGGGGCUGGCUGACUUUGAGCCAUUUGCUGACAAACAGAAUGCACAACGGUUCAGUUCUCCUGCCUCUCCCUUGGGUUUCACCUGCCUAGCACAAAACACAUAGAAAGGUAAUUAUCCUUAAUACCUCCACCAUAUUUUAACAUGUAGAUGAUACCAGAGUCCCACCUUAUGUAGUAAUUGACGGGAGAUGGGUUAAAAGGCAAAGAAACAGCUUAGGGAAGGAGUUGGAAAAAAAUCUCGGAUCAUCAUAAAUAUUGUAAUGUCAGCUAUUGUUCCUGUUGUUAAUUGAGAAUGUCAAGGAUUAUUAGGUGCCCAGGGAAUAAGAAUUGAUUCCUCAGAUUCCUGACUGUAGGAAAAACCCAACAACCCACUUUGCAAAUUCCUGAGAUUCUUGGAACAGAUUGUAGGAACAGCAGUGAAAAUGCUUACUAUAUAACUGCGUAGCGAUAUGAAAAGCUAUAAGUGCCAAUGGCUUGUGUUUGUCUUUUUGCAUGCCUGCCAAAGAUCAUUUUUCAUUUCAAGGACAUUACUGAAAAAUGUUGACUAUGAAUCUUAAGUCCCUACAGGUAUUGCUCGGAGGAACAGGCAGAGUAGGAAAGAAGUUUAACAGAAUCAGUUAAUGCCUUGGCUGUUACUCCUACAGAAAUUUAAGGAAUUUUGUAGUGGGAUGCAUGAAUCAUCUUAUCACCCUUUCAUAACAUUGCCAGACUGACCAAGAACUUGUUCCAAUAAAUAGAUUUUAUGUUGCUUAACUUUCA